CACCCUAAAGGUGGCCAAAGCAACAUGCCCUAAAGGCACUAAGCGGUGCCUCAUUAAACUUCUCCCUAAUUAAUCCAACACAUGGAUGACUUAGGAUAAGUUGUUUAUCGUGCCCCUAUUCGCUUCUUCUUCUUUGGUUGCUAGUUGAACAGUUUGGAUUGCCAUAUCUUGUACACAUAACAAUACACACGCAUCUACAAUUAACAACAUACAACCUUACAAUAACCUAUCACCAAAGCUUAAUAGUUAUACAUCUAUUGUGAACGGAGCAUCAUUACUUAAGCAAUUUCAAGUCCCACCAUAAAAUUAACAAUAAUUCAGAUAUAAAAAUUAAUCUCUACCACCAUAAAAUUAACAAUUAUUUAGAUACAAAAAUCAAUCCUACUCAAAACUACAACUUCACCAAAACAACAGAUAACGACCCAGCCUCUACACAACCUGUCAACAUAGCUUCAUAACUUCACAACGCACCUAGAUUUCUAAAAACAAUUCACAUAUAUCCACAAAUUCUAGCUAAUUACAUAAAAACAUGCAUAAUUAACCUUGCAUCUAACUUAUUUUAUACUAAUUAAAAGAAAUAAUAAAUUAAAUUCUACAGUUCCAUUUUCAAAAAUCACCAAAUUUGAAAUUCACUAGGGGAAUCAAAUAUGACAUCGGUUAUUGCAGAAGCACUUUGAACUCAGCUCGAAUAAAGCGAAAAAACACAUCCUUUCUAUGGAAUCAAUUGCACAACCUUCAACCAAACUCCCCUGAUUUUUUGCUGUCUAAAAUUUCUGUGAGGUCGGAGAACACAAGCACAGACCAACUAUAACUGGGUUUGGAAUAGGAAACAAAUUUUUGAACGGGAAAGAUGAAGUGUUUUUGGAGGAGGACGAGACUUACUAAAAAUGGUAAGUGUUGUUGUCAGGGGGACAGUUUAAAACCCAAUAAAUUUUGAAUUCAUGCAACUAUCAUUUUAAUUAAGUGACGGGUCAUUUAUGACCCGAUUUCCAAACGGCCCAUAUUUGUUCGGCACGCACAAUCUUCAAAGUUUAGUCUGCAUCUUAGAAAACACGAAACGAACAAUAUACUGCAACUCAUUUGGGGGAUUUCAGAAAUAACAAAAGUUUUAGCCCAAAAUGUUCAAAAACACUUUGCCAGCCCAAAACAAAAACCACAAAAACCCGCCACUCGCCACGUUAGCACUAAAACCCAUAUCCCCUUCAUCGCCAAAACCUCCAUUUCUCAUGAAUCCAUGCGACCUCACUCCCUCUCAUGGUAUUCACUUUCCUCUAAAUCCCCCAUUUCCUCUCUCCUCAGCCCCACUUUCUAUGUCUAAAACCCAACUUCACCUCAUUCAAACCCUCAAAUUCAAUUCCCUCUCUUUCAUCCCAGCCCAUUAAACCCACUACGCAAUCAGGUUGGAUGACAAGUACUACCCGGAUCCGACGGACGACGACCCUGCUCGAAGCCCCGAAAGACUCGGGUUACAGAGUGUCCAAGUUCCAACAAAUCCAGUGGCAGUUUUCGCGCCACCACAAGCUCGAGGAGGAAGAGUAUUUGAAGCAGCAGGACACCUUCCUCAAUGCCAUUGCUGAUGUGGAGGACGUGCCGGAGAAUUCUAAUUUCGUAAUUCAUAACAACUCCGGUGACGAUUUGUUCGGCGACAUCGACCAAGUGGUUGCCUUGAAACGCAAGGAGUUUGUGAAGCAAGGGCUUCUGAAACCAAACCCUAAGAAGGAGAUUAUGGCGGUGGAUAAGCUGGACCCUGAGGAGGUGGUGGAUUUGGAGGAGAUUGAAGAGCUUCAAGGGAUUAAGGUCGUCAGCAAGCACAAAAAGGACGACCGGCCGGAGAAAUUCAAUCCCAAGGUUCGUGAUUUCAGGUAAAGAUGGGAUUUUGCGUUUGAAUUCUGAGUUUGAUUUGGACUUUGAUAAUUAUGGUAAAACUAGGGCUAGGAUUAUGGAACCUAAGUUUAGAAUGAGCUUGGCUGAGCUUUUGGAUGAGAGUAAAGUCGGUUUAUAGUGAUUUAGAGGUUGAGAUUACGGGAAUUCAACACGGUUCACGGGUGGUUAAUGCCGGUGAUUUGUUCGUGUACUAUGUUGGGAGCAAGACGGAUGGACAUUUGUCUUUUAGUGAGGCUAUUAAGAGACGUGUGGUUGUUGUUGUAGCUAGUAAAGAGAUAUACAUGGAGGAAAAUUUGGGUUGUAAGGCAUUGGUCAUUGUGGAAGAUACCAAUGCAAAUUUACCGGUAUUGGCUUACCUGUCAAAGAAUAUGGUGGUGAUUGGGAUAACGGGAACAAAUGGGAAGACCACAACUGCAUAUUUGAUAAAAAAGGAUGUAUGAAGCGAUGGGAUUGAGGACAGGUAUGUUGAAUACGGUUGCUUAUUAUGUGCAUGGGGAUAAUAAGUUGGAGUCAGCUAACACAACCCCGGAUGCUAUUUUGGUUCAAAACUUAAUGGCUAAGAUGCUCCAUAAUGCGGCUGAAGCCGUUGUCAUGCAGGCUUCUUCUCAUGGUCUAGCUUUAUCCAGAUGUGAUGAAGUUGAUUUUGACAUAGCUGUUUUCACAAACUUAACUAGUGACCAUAGACAAAGGAGGAUUAUAGGGAUGCAAAGGCUAAGUUAUUUUCAAGGAUGGUGGAUCCGGGACAGCAUAGGAAAGUUGUGAAGAUUGAGGACCCAAAUGCAACCUUCUUCAUUGCACAAGGACAUUCGACUUCCUCUAGAUCAAAACAUGACCAAACGAACGAAUUUUGGAGUGAUUCAAAUUGGAGGACGUUCCUAUGUGUCUUGGUGUGCUUGUAUAAAAAUUUGGGAUUUUUCUACCAAGCGGUUAUUUUCUGGUGAUUAAAUGACGGAGCUGUGUGCAUUACUGGAAAGUGACGUUUCUGGUCUUGAAUUGCGUUUUUGGAGCCCAAGAUGACCUCAAAUGGGCUUGUGGCCUUCUAGAGAAGAGUUCAGAAUAAUCCAAGCUUUAAAUCCAGCUAUUUUGGGCUAGUUUUGGAGCUGAUAUAUGUCCAAAACAUGGCUAUGCAGAUUUCAAGAUGAAUUUACCAGGUCAAUUUAUGAUUAUGUUUUCUAUUUUAUUUCAAUUUAUUUAGUUUCCUAGUCUUAUUCUAAGAGCUUUUACUAGGAGGAUUUUAUUUAGAGUAGUAUAAAUAAGCCUUUUGGCAGACCUAGGGUUUCUCUAAGACGUACGCAAGAUUGGGAGAAGAUUUUGGCUAGAGCUCAGAGAUUUUCAGACUUUAGGCUACAAAGUGUUUUCAUUCUUUUUCUAUUUCAAUACAAUUCUUUUGAUUUUAAUUA